AGCGAACGCUGGCGGCAGGCCUAACACAUGCAAGUCGAGCGGCCCUUCGGGGCAGCGGCGGACGGGUGAGUAACGCGUGGGAACGUGCCCUUUGGUACGGAACAACUGAGGGAAACUUCAGCUAAUACCGUAUGUGCCCUACGGGGGAAAGAUUUAUCGCCAUUGGAGCGGCCCGGGUUAGAUUAGCUAGUUGGUAGGGUAAUGGCCUGCCAAGGCGACGAUCUAUAGCUGGUCUGAGAGGAUGAUCAGCCACACUGGGACUGAGACACGGCCCAGACUCCUACGGGAGGCAGCAGUGGGGAAUCUUGCGCAAUGGGCGAAAGCCUGGCGCAGCCAUGCCGCGUGAAUGAUGAAGGUCUUAGGAUUGUAAAAUUCUUUCACCGGGGACGAUAAUGACGGUACCCGGAGAAGAAGCCCCGGCUAACUUCGUGCCAGCCGCCGCAGUAAGAC
rnacentral:rRNA from 1 species